ACCUGCAGACCCGUUCUGGAUGCCCAGGAGUCCUGUGAACCCGCAGCUGUCAUCACCACACUCUGCUCGCUGAUUCCUUUCAUCUGAAGCUUUACCUCGAACUCAUACAUGAUUGGCCUCCAAUAUUCCACUUCAGUGGUGGUGCCAAUGAUCAUGAUCUACUUAAAAUGUUGGAUACUCAUACGAUACAGAGAGAGAUGAAGAUCCAAGGUGUGGGUACACAGUGACAAACAUUGAAGAAAAAAAGAAAGCUGUUUGGGUUUUUUUUAAGACGCAAGGAAUUUUUUGACAAUAAAUUUACACCCUUUGGCACAUCUAUUUUAACGUUCUGGAGCAACUGUGUGACAAUUUUCACACUCCUCUGUACGAAUGCUCUCUGGUGACACCUGUUCAUACUAAGCUUUAAUGGCUCUUUUCAUGGCUUUUCCUGAUAUCAUCCCACCCCCAAGAUUAGAACUGUCUUGACGCUUUCCCAGCUGAUACAUAAACUCUUACCAUGACCCCUAUAAAUGUGAGCCUAUCUCUUCCAGCAGGCUGUAAACUCCUCACGAGUACAGACUGUCUUGCUCUUUUUUUCAUCUACAAUAUCUGAUAAACAGUAGACACUUAGCUACUUAUUAAAUUACUGAAUUACAGCUCAGCACACAGCAUGCUGUUAUGGCCAUUUGGUGGAGGUGAGCCUUGUUUUCUCAAAUGAGAAGUAGACUGGUUUUUCUGCAACCAUACAAGAAAGAUUCUAUAAGCCAGAAGACAGCAUAGUGAAACUGAUACUUGACUAAGUUUUCUGGUGUAAGUGUAAAGUAUAACCUUUUGGGAAAACUAUUUGCAAAUUCA